GUAGGGGUCUAGCGUUGUCCGGAAUUAUUGGGCGUAAAGAGCUCGUGGGCGGUUCGGCAAGUCGGAUGUGAAAUCUCCACGCUUAACGUGGAGGGGCCAUUCGAAACUGCUGUGACUCGAGUCCGGUAGGGGAGUUCGGAAUUCCCGGUGUAGCGGUGAAAUGCGCAGAUAUCGGGAGGAACACCAGUGGCGAAGGCGGAACUCUGGGCCGGAACUGACGCUGAGGAGCGAAAGCGUGGGGAGCGAACAGGAUUAGAUACCCUGGUAGUCCACGCCGUAAACGUUGGGCACUAGGUGUGGGGUUCUAUCGACGGAUUCCGUGCCGUAGCUAACGCAUUAAGUGCCCCGCCUGGGGAGUACGGCCGCAAGGCUA
rnacentral:rRNA from 1 species